AAACCAUGGUGCGGGCACUCCCUCUGCAAGUCCUUGAAUCUCUCCCAGACCUCGAACAAACUCUCAUCUGCUUGUUGUGAGAUACCUAAUAUCUAACCCCUCGGACG
rfam:Spinacia oleracea cultivar SynViroflay scaffold39538.1, whole genome shotgun sequence.